rnacentral:lncRNA from 1 species
GACCGCGACCCCCACAACUCCAGCUUCUCCGACGCAGGUGGAUUUUUGUACCAACAGGAUUGGCGCUAGAGGAAGGGCCUGAACCUUCGCAGUACCCUUGUUUGUUAAAGGAGCGCUCAACGGGACUGCCCCCGGACAUCAUUUUCGGUGCCCUCUCCUCCUUCCUCCACUUGGUCUUUAGCCGAUGCCUCCCCGUAAGGCAUCCACGCGACGAUCCACGACCUCCGCGGCCAGAUCUCAGGCUCCGGCCUCACCUUCAGUUUUCCAGCCUCCUCCUCCUCCUCCGGCAACGG